AUUGAACGCUGGCGGCAGGCCUAACACAUGCAAGUCGAGCGGAUGAAGGGAGCUUGCUCCUGGAUUCAGCGGCGGACGGGUGAGUAAUGCCUAGGAAUCUGCCUGGUAGUGGGGGAUAACGUCCGGAAACGGGCGCUAAUACCGCAUACGUCCUGAGGGAGAAAGUGGGGGAUCUUCGGACCUCACGCUAUCAGAUGAGCCUAGGUCGGAUUAGCUAGUUGGUGGGGUAAAGGCCUACCAAGGCGACGAUCCGUAACUGGUCUGAGAGGAUGAUCAGCCACCUGGGACAUGAGACGCGGUCCAGCCCCCUACGGGGGGAAGCAGGGGGGAAUAUUGGACAAGGGGCGAAAGCCUGACCCAGCCAUGCGGCGUGUGUGAAGAAGGUUUUCGGAUUUUAAAGCAUUUUAAGUGGGGAGGAAGGGAAGUAAUUUAAUACCUUGCUGUUUUGACGUUCCCAAAAGAAAAAGCACCGGCUAACUUCGUG
rnacentral:rRNA from 1 species